rnacentral:misc_RNA from 1 species
AAAAGGAAUGUGGUAGGAUAAGACAUCUCUAAGUGCUUCUUGUGCCAAUGAUCGGAAGGAUAAAAUUACACCAAUUAUUGUCAUCCUCUUCAAGACACUGUCAACAGAUGAUAAUCUUUUAAACAGUGCAGCCAUCUGGUCUGGUUUGUCAAAGCUGGUCCUCAUUUGUGUUAACACAUCAACAUUCUCCACCACAAGUUUCUUAAGUUCAGCAACUUGUGAUGAAAUAUGCCACAUAAGGCUUUCACUUAGAAACUUCAUACCAUA